rnacentral:antisense_RNA from 1 species
UGUGGGAGCGGGCUUGCCCGCGAUAGCGGUGUAUCAGUCAGCGCAUCUGUCACUGAACCACCGCCAUCGCGGGCAAGCCCGCUCCCACA